rnacentral:rRNA from 1 species
CUACGGGAGGCACCAGUCGAGAAUCUUCCGCAAUGGACGAAAGUCUGACGGAGCGACGCCGCGUGCGGGAUGAAGGCCUUCGGGUUGUAAACCGCUGUCUGUGGGGAGGAAAUGCAUCAGGGUUCUCCCUGGUGUUUGACCGAUCCGCAGAGGAAGCGCAGGCUAAGUUCGUGCCAGCAGCCGCGGUAACACGAACUGCGCGAACGUUAUGUCGGAAUCACUGGGCUUAAAGAGUUCGUAGGCGGCCUUUCAAGUCGGGUGUGAAAUCCCUCGGCUCAACCGAGGAAUUGCGCCUGAUACUGGUGGGCUUGAGGGGGAUAGGGGUGAGCGGAACUGAUGGUGGAGCGGUGAAAUGCGUUGAUAUCAUCAGGAACACCGGUGGCGAAGGCGGCUCACUGGAUCUCUUCUGACGCUGAGGAACGAAAGCUAGGGGAGCGAACGGGAUUAGAUACCCCAGUAGUC